CCGCGCCGCUCAGGGACAGUUCGGCUGUGACGCAAGCUCUCCGCCCUCCUGACCCCCCCUCCACGGCGCCAGGCUUCUGUAACUUAUAAGAUGGCGGCGUCCACAUGUAUUCGUCCUUCCCGGGAUUAGCCAGGCAGCUAGAGGAUGACUUAAUAAGGAGAGUGGAAAAACUGGCCAAUUAAUGAACAUGCCCUGAUCAUUAAUCCACCCCUGAAGGAAGUCAGAGCAGAAAUUCAAGCAGGGACUUGAAGAAGAAACCAUGGAGGAAUACGACUUGCUGGCUUACCAGUGCGUGCUAGCUUGCUUAUACAUCCCGGAACCACUCACCCAGGGAAUGAUGUCACCCAUCAG